UCAUAUCGACGGGGUUGUUUGGCACCUCGAUGUCGGCUCAUCACAUCCUGGGGCUGAAGUCGGUCCCAAGGGUAUGGCUGUUCGCCAUUUAAAGUGGUACGCGAGCUGGGUUUAGAACGUCGUGAGACAGUUCGGUCCCUAUCUGGUGUGGGCGUUGGAUGAUUGAUGGGAGCUGCUCCUAGUACGAGAGGACCGGAGUGGACGAACCGCUGGUGUUCG
rnacentral:rRNA from 1 species